GGUUCUUUACAUUCUGACUUUUGCUGAGUGGUUAAGGUAUAAUGGUCAUUAAGUAUCUGCAGGCCUCUGCUCCCACAUCACGCUGCACCGAGACACAGGCAGUAAAUACACUGCUGUCAAUGAGGAACAAUUCAUUUGUGUAUUUUCGCCGCUCAUGAGAAGUCCCGUCUUAAAAUACUACUAUACUAACAUGUCGCCAACAUAUGAAAUGACUGACGUGUUUUCUGUUGUUUGCCUGUUAGCUAACAGAGCCCUUAACAUGGCUGCUAGAGUCGGUCUCCGCCGCGGUCUGUUUAAAAACAAAAUCAUCCGCUCUCCAGAUUACCUGCAUGCCUGCGUACGUGUGUCUCUGUUGUUAAAGUUUAGCGUUACUUCUGAGUGUUUUAUUUUUACAAUUGGGACUCUGAAGACUCAUGUAAAGAUGACGUGUCGCACGUCUUUUCCGGUCAGUCAUCAUGGAAACAGGACGCUCAUCCAGCGUGCUGGAUGUGGACCAGAGUGGAAACAAACAUGUUGUAAAAUGAAAACAAAGUACCACUGUAUCCAACCUUUAUGUGUGUAAACACCCACUGUUGCUGCACCUAAUUUUUUUUAAAGGAAUUGUGUGUUCAAGUAAAACAUUUUAGAAUUGAUUUUAUAUUAUAUUGGGUAUUGCUAAAACGUCAGUGCUUAAUAAAUGUUUUCAGAAUUUUGUAAUAUUGUUUAUGAAGCAUAUUACAUCUGUGAAUAUGAUCUAUGAAGCUAAUUCUAUGAAGAAUGAAUAUUAAUCUAUGCAAUUGCAUUGCCUUUAUUUUAGUGAGGUAAGUACAGUUAUUUCUGCACAACAGACCCUUGUCAGACAGACAGACCACUCUGAUCAGAGGAGCACAGAGAAACUAUGCAAAAUAUUUACCUUAUGUUUAGUUUCUACCUUCAUUAAAGAGCCUCAGGCUAAUUGUGAUGUUAGAUAAAUGACUUGUAACUUGUUUGUUGUUAAAGGGAGAGUGGAGGCUCAAUUCUACAUCAUGGUUUAAAACCAAACCUGCAUAAUCAGAACCUUGGACCCGGUGUCACAGCUCUCGUCUCUGCGGCAUCACAAUUCUGGGCCCCGUAAAGCUUAAUCUCUUGUUUGUGAGGUUGUUCAUGAGGUUAACAUGAAGAUAACCUCUGAACUAUACAUUAGCCCUUAUAUAUUUCUUCUCCCAGGUACAUGUCUGAUCAUUUCUUUUUCUCUUAUUUCUGUUGCAGCCAGAGUCUUUGUAUGUGGACACUCAGUAUUUGCCCUCUCUUCAGUUCCUCUUGUCUGUCCUCCACAAGCAGGGACUCACUGAUAGACCACUCUGCUUCUGGGGCUGACACACUCUCCCACGUCCCCACACCCAGUGUAUUCUGUACAGGAAUGUGAGGACUACAGACACAAAACAAUGAAGGUAAUUGUGAUGCACAACAUCAUGGCUGAGGAGGAUCCAUCAGAUGUGUCGAUUGUGAUUGAGGGAAACCAAGUGAUGGACGGAUGUGGAAGCCGAACAAAGGCAUGUGUACUGCUGAUGGGACUGAUAUAUGCUUUGCUUUGGAUAGUCAAGGUUGAGGAACCUUGACUAUCCAAAGCAGCUCAAGAACACAUUUGAAGCUUUUCAAAAACUUUUUUUGGAACUUGACGGUGCAAAACUACUGAAGAAGGUCCACAGCCUCAAAAACAAGCGCAUGCAAUAGACAUACAUUUCCCCUCUUGUUCCAAGAGGAUCUUUUGUCUGGACAGAGAGUUUUAAUGGAGUAUAGUUUUAUAUUUUUGUUCUCUUCCCUCCUCUGCUCCACACACAGACACAGAAAUAUAUGUACAGAUGGAUACAUAAGUAUGUUGCAGCCUCUCUCAGCCCACUCCAUUGUUCUCUGAUUUCUCCACAUUGACAGAAAUGGAAAAGCAAUAGAAACUGGCCAGUCUGGUCAAUACCACUGAGUGAAUCCUGAAGAAUUUUGAACUCAUCCUCUUUCCCUCCCCAUUUGUUUGUUUCUUUUAUUCUCAUCCUAUCUCUGAGAGUGAGAGCAAGCACAGAAACUAAAGAAUGUUGAUUUUCUGAUCUGUCUUUAUCCAGACAGAAACUAUCUUGUAGAGUUUUGUGGCUUUUAAAAUAGAAUAAGGGGCCUCUGAAACUGUUGUUUGCAUUGACCAGUUAUAAAGAGAACAUUUGAAGCCGUUAGCUUAGUGAGUUAUAAAACGGGUUUAUUCAUUGAAAUGUUGUGUGAAGCUGUGUACUGCACUUUAUUCAUUUUUUGGAUAAUUUAGUGUAUUAUUGCUGCAUAUAAACAAGGCAUUUCAGUUAUUUGUUGUAUAUAAAUACACCUGCAGAUUUGCUCAGUCACUGUUGUGUGAGGCCGAAGAAACACAAGUAAGAGUUUAGAUACAAGAAAAUCUUCAUAUGAUUGGACAUCCCUUGCACCUCUGCUCUGAUCACCUCACUUCUCCUUUUCUCUGAUCUACUCCUUUCUUAUUGAGCAGUCUGGAUGUCCUAAAACAGGGAUAUGUUUUAUUGUCCAACAUUACUGAAACAACAUUUGAAGUUGUUAAGUUAUAACGCAGGUUCAUUAUAUGAAAUGUUGUGUGACACUGUUGUGCUGCAGUUUAUUCUGUGUUUUUGUUUUUGAUGACUUUAUGGAUUAAAAACAUUGAGAAGGUGUAUGAGCUGAAUGUCUUUUUUGGGGGUACAUCUUACCUUCUCUGAAUAAGUAAUGGUUAUUAACUGAUUUUAAUUAACUUUGAUUUGUAAUUACUGAUAAUUACAAAUCACCUCAAACAAGUAGGUAAUACUUGUUUGCUUGUUAAACAAGCAAACAAGUAUUUUUUUGCUUGUUUACAUUUAACAAGUAUUUAACAAGUAUUUUUAAUGUUAAAUGAUACUUACACACAGACAUUUAACUGAGUAAGUAGCUGUUGAAUAUAUACAUAAAUAUGAGGUAAAUUUUACCCAAUUUCUUUAAGUAUUUCAUAUAUUUCUGUUCAGUUAUUUUAUACUCAAUAUAUGGAAUUGAAUCUACCCGAAAAGAGUCGAUGCAAAUUGUUACCUCAGAUUUAUUAGGUAAAUUCUAUAGGUUAGUUUUUUCAGUGUAUGCAACGAGAACGUUUUUGAAAUCAGGUAACAUUUUACCAAAUGAAGUGUUUAGAAGACGGCAGAACUCUGAUCGUUACCCCAUUCCGCACUCACUCCCCUCGGCGGGAGAAAAACCCCGCAGAAGCAGAUCAGCUGCGCUAGAUGCUCCAAAGCCUCUGGUCCAUUAAAGCGUCCAGAUCAGAGGUGAUACUCUGACAAAAAUUGUUAAUAGUGAGCUCCACGAUGUUCACGAUGACAGUAAAGUUGAAACUGUCUGCGCACCAAGUGGUCAGUGGUCAGUCAUCACAGUACGAAACCAGCAAAUGCUCAUGUGCUUAUCAAGACGAGGGUGAAGAGAUCCGACAUAUUAUUUCAGUUAAGUUUUUACUGGUUUCAUUUUUAGAUCACCAUUAGCGUAAGCAGUGUAAUUGUAUGUUGUAUGUAUUUCAACAGGCAAUGCUUAAAUUCAGCAAUUUUGCCCAUAAAAAUGCUGAAAUUACCAAUACGAAAAGCAAUUUAUAGAAAAUUCAGGUGGACUAAUUGAUUUUCCUUCAUCAUUGCUUCUCAUUACUAAGCGUUACUACUUUUUACUCAUGGCCUUAUUUUUAUUUCACCUGCCUCCCCUGACCGCACGUCACUGCAAACAACCAUGAAAAUGCAUUUUAUCCCUGUAGCUAAGACCUCUGACAGACAAAAGGCAUUUACUCUGCCAAUAAGUAAAUAAGCAAACUCAUAAGACUGUUGAUGAGUACACUAAAACAGAAAGAGAAUACUGAGAUUGGCUUUAAGAUA